CCUACGGGAGCAGCAGUGGGGAAUUUUGGACAAUGGGCGCAAGCCUGAUCCAGCAAUGCCGCGUGAGUGAAGAAGGCCUUCGGGUUGUAAAGCUCUUUUGUCAGGGAAGAAACGGUUGAGGCUAAUAUCCUCGGCUAAUGACGGUACCUGAAGAAUAAGCACCGGCUAACUACGUGCCAGCAGCCGCGGUAAUACGUAGGGUGCAAGCGUUAAUCGGAAUUACUGGGCGUAAAGCGUGCGCAGGCGGUUUUGUAAGUCUGUCGUGAAAGCCCCGGGCUUAACCCGGGAAUUGCGAUGGAAACUGCAAGGCUUGAAUCUGGCAGAGGGGGUAGAAUUCCACGUGUAGCAGUGAAAUGCGUAGAGAUGUGGAGGAACACCGAUGGCGAAGGCAGCCCCCUGGGUCAAGAUUGACGCUCAUGCACGAAAGCGUGGGGAGCAAACAGGAUUAGAUACCCUGGUAGUCCACGCCCUAAACGAUGUCUACUAGUUGUCGGGUCUUAAUUGACUUGGUAACGCAGCUAACGCGUGAAGUAGACCGCCUGGGGAGGUACGGUCGCGAGAAGUUAAACGUUAAAGUUAAGUAAGUAGUACGGCGUGAGACGAGACGACGACGACGACGAGGGAGGAGG
rnacentral:rRNA from 1 species